rnacentral:rRNA from 1 species
UACGGAGGGUGCGAGCGUUGUCCGGAAUCAUUGGGCGUAAAGGGUGCGUAGGCGGUUCGUUAAGUCUGUCGUGAAAUCCCCGGGCUCAACCUGGGAAUGGCGAUGGAUACUGGCGAGCUAGAGUGUGUCAGAGGAUGGUGGAAUUCCCGGUGUAGCGGUGAAAUGCGUAGAGAUCGGGAGGAACAUCAGUGGCGAAGGCGGCCAUCUGGGACAACACUGACGCUGAAGCACGAAAGCGUGGGGAGCAAACAGG